UCCAUAAUGGGAGCACACAAACACAAAAA
rnacentral:sRNA from 1 species